rnacentral:lncRNA from 1 species
CACCUCCACGAACACUUAUCGCCUCGCUAGGAGAAAUGUGAUGGAUCUCCAAUCUUUCAUGUAAACAAUCAGCUUUCGAAGCAUCUGAACUUUCGCGCUUUCGCUCGAGAGUGUAAAUACGUAUUCCGGGUAGUGCAAACGCGCGCAGUGUUACUAACCCCUUUUACACAGUGCAUUCUCUCAUUGAACAGUUGGUAAUAGCCCAAAUCACUGAGGCUGAUUCCUUCUAUAAACAAGAUAAAAAAAAAAAAAAAAUUUGUUGUGGAAGUUUUAAUCGGAACUUUAGUAAUUGUAAACGAACUUUGGGGGGUCAUGGAGGGUGUUGAAGUCAAAUCAUUCAAAUGUUAUAAUUUUCGUUGUAUUUUGUUUUGAAAGAGGUGACCCUCAUUCAUCUAACGCGAUUUUUGCAAUGUCUGCAAAGUCUGUGACUCAGUCAACUGCUGAUCUUCUCUCCAAUCUUCCUAUUCGACCAAAGGCAAGACGCAAGAACAAUGUUAAUGCAAUUUCCACCGAAUUUCUGAAAAUGCUCAACAUUUUCUCGAAAAAGACUCGCUUCCAACACAAACACUUCACUGCAGUCACCGAUCCAAAACGUUCGAAAAAGUUCGAUGCUAGUAGUUUCAAAAGCAAGAGAGCCUCGAAGUAAAGGAAAGCGGAAAACUAUCUUCAGUGACAAAGUUCCAAUGGUAAUCGAUUUAAGCAAAGCUAACGAGCCACCUCCCGACGCAAGUCUACCGAAAAGGAUUCUCUAGAUGCUGACCAACUUGAAGGACUUAAAUGGGAAGAGUGUCCGCCAUUUCUCUUGUGCAGAGUAAGAAAUUCCAACAAGGCUCCUUUACCUACAAAUAAACUUGCAGAACCCAGUUUGUCAGAAGAAAACCAUGCCAAAACACUCCUAUCGAUAUGGUGCAUUCCGUAAUGACUUGGGAACCACCAAUCAUUUCUACCGCUCCGAAAAUCAAUUUGUUAGAUAUACGACAUUCUUCUUUAGUUCCCUCAGAGCCUUCUUCUCUGCGCUGUUUUCCAAAAAAGAAGCCUAAACAGGCUAAAAACACCAUCAAAUUGGCAAAAGAAUCAAGAAAUUCGUCAUCUGCUGCCAGAUGUAGGACAUUCACGAGAGUCCGUCCAUCAGAUAAUUCACUAGGACAGUUCAAAGACAACAGCGCAACCUCUCAGAAGAAUUUACUUGAUGACGUUACACCAGAUCCAAGGAAUACUUCACUACGCCCUCCAUCCAAGGAUACUGAAAGCUUCUCUGCAUCCACUGUCAACCACUUAAAGCAACAACGUUGGGCCUCAGGGCUGAAUAAUCCACUUCUAAGUAUACCUCGAAAGUUUGAUAAGGUGUUAGAUUCAAGAAAUACCCCUCAACCAAGAGGUAUGCAAGCUACUGCUAACAACAGCACAAAGUCGAAAAAGACUGUUGCCAAGCGUCAGUAUAGAGGAAGAGUGUUACCAGGAACUUUCAAAAUUUUUGAGGAUAUCUCCAGACCAACAUGUGCACAGUAUAGCGAACUUUUUGUUGGUGCAGCAAACACAGAGGUCUCAUCUCAAAGUUUCAACGAAUUUACCAAGACAAUGAUGAACAAAGACCCAGUCCUAAACAGGCUCCUGAGCAAAUCUUCACUAACAGAAGCUAGAGAAAUAGCGGACAGAAAGACUCAAAGAAGUGCAUUUUCGGAUUGGUCAAGGAGGGGCGACCCUGGAGGGGCAUUGGAAACUGAAACGCUUAAAGGUAAACUGCGAUUUGAUUACAUUUAUACACCAAUAAAUAAAGUAAGUAUAGGGAUACAAACUUCACCAGCAAAUUCACCAUCACCUCCGCAUGAAACUGAAGAUAGCAGAAAGCCCUUUUCCCAUAUGAAUGAUGAGACAUUUAAAGAUUCUGAUCGCUGCAUUUCAUCAUUAGGAGGCAAAAUCAAGAAUAAAGUACAAAUCCCGAAACCACAUGAAGAUAAAGCGAAAGGGCCAACAAAUGACCAUGUUGGCAUAUCUGAAGUUUCAGCAUUUACGGGAACGGCAACUACACCUGCAAAUUGUCACCCAAAGCUCCAGCACCGAGAUAGGCAGACUCCAAAUGCAACAGUUUCUCUCUCUGGAAUGGAGGCUGUGUUACAAGCUGGAUCAUUACUUCUGAGUGGUGUGCUACCAAAUGGUUUUCACAAUAAUUCUAUGAACAAUGGAAAUUUUAAACCCUAUACCUACGCUGAUUUGUCAAUGCAAAUUGAAAAUUCUGAUGAUCCUGUUGAAGAUGAACAUUUUUCACCUCCAAAACCUACCGCGGUCAUUUAUUUCAAAAGUGAACCAGCAUCAGACGAUGAAAACUGUGAAAAUUAUAGCGAUGAAAGGCUUCUUUUGGAGAUGCCAUCAGAAGACACUUUGGAAAUAGGAAGAGAUGCAACGAAUCCAUUGAUUGAUUGCGUAAAGGAGGAGAUGGUCCCUGAAGAAACCAUUCCAAGCGAAAAAGUGCAAAAACCAAAUGAAAGCAUUGAUGCAGUUGUCAGAAUCAAGGAGGAAGUUUUGGAUGAAAAUGAACUCAAUUUUCAGAAUCAGGUAACAGCUCUUGUGAUAUUUCUACAGGAAAAAAAACCCAAGAAGCAGUGCAAUACAUUCACAAAGUGAACCAAUGACUGGAAAUGAGUAUAUGGUUCAUGCUAUUGAAAGCCCGAGUUUCAAUGAUCUAAGAGCCACUGCGUCAUCGACUGAGCCUCAAAUCAAAAUUGAGCUUGAAAGUGAAGGUGAAAGUAUAAUGGACACAACAAAUGAAGGCAGAAUUUCAAAAGAAAUCACAGCCCACUUCUCCAAGGACAGAACAGAAGAAAUUGAUUCACUUGAUGUUUCAGUCAUGAUUAAAACUGAAAUAGAAUCGGACACUGAAGACCAGUCAGAAACGAUGAAUACUGAUAACAGCAAAAGAGAAAUUUCCCCUGACUCUUUGCCUAGAAAUGAACCUAGAGCUGAACUUGGAAAUGCACUUAUUUCUUCUAGCAAUGUUCCUGUUAACAAAAGAGGUGAAAAGAAGGAAACUAAGAUUUUGUUGGGGGGAACAAACGAUGAAGUCUUGAAAAAUCACUCUGAAGGCAAGUGUGUCGCAAACUUAGUACACUCUGAAAAUGGUAUGAACUCAACUUAUGUCAAUGAAUCAGAUUCGAGCCUUGUAAAAACUGAAGAUGACAUCGAAUACAAUGACAAGAUGGACACAGAUGAUUAUAGUGAUAACAAUAGUGUAAUUGAUGACUUUUUUAUGACAGAAAGUCAAAAUGAAUCUGAAACAUGCAACCUUGAGCUUGAGGAAAGUAGAAGUGAAAGAAACAACACCACGCACAGUUUGGGUGAGUUUGAAGAUGGAUCAGAAAACAGGCAGGAAACUUCAAAUGAAGGCAGCAUGAGUGGAGCUUGUAAAGAUGAAACUCUUGGUGCAAGCCUUAUUUUGUCUCGAUUGAAUCAAGAAAAAGUCGAAUUGAAAGGAUUUUCAUUUGAUGCAUUUGAACAACCUAAACCGUUCAUUGUCAGAAAAUCAGCUAAGCCAUAGAAACAAGUGAUCAACAAAGCCAGACUGAGACAGUUAGUGCCUUAAUGUGGGAGCCGUUAAUGUCGUAUGAACAAUUGACGGACACAAAGUUAAUCUUCUUUACUGGCAUCAAUAAGCUCAAAUUCUCCCUCUUACAUGGUUUUCUUUUUUCAGAUCGUCGGAUUAUUACACAUAGAUUUCUUAGUGAAGAAAAUCAGCUCCUUUUAACCUUAUUCCACUACAAACACAAACCAGGGCAUGAGUAUCUGUCAGUACUUUUUGCAAUAUCGGUGUAUCAAGUCGGUCGUAUUUUAUUCAAAGUUACGCAAAAGUUCAGGGAUGCUGUGAAGGAUGGUUCAUAUUGGGCUAUGAAGAGUUAUAUGUGUUCAGUAUCGCUUGUCAUGGAGUGCCAUGAAUUUAUGGCUCACAUCUUAAAAGCUGCCAAUCAAGAGGAUCCCUCUGAAUUAAGUUGAGUUUUUAGCAUGUGAAAUGAAGAGUGCGGUAAACAAUUCACAAUAUCAAACUUUUCAACCGACAUAACUGAAGGAAAAGUUGGAUGGAAAGUCGGACGCAAAAAAAAUUCGAUUUAAUUACCGUUGCAGUGUGAUGUCGUCAUCAGUCUGCUGUUCGCGAAGAUACAUUUUCAGCUCAUGUCAGUCGGAAGAUUUCAUUCCAACUUUUCGUUCAAUUUUUCAUCAAAUUGUCAUUUUCUCUCUUUAGGAUCACACUAUCCAACUUUCCAUUCGACAAAUUGCAUCCAAGAGAUGGAUGAAAAGUUUGAUAGUGUGAAUUGUGCUUAAAAGCGAGGCAUAACACUAGUAACCAUAUUUUCCUCCCAAAAAAUUAGGAUCCAAACACUGAUUACUGAUGGCCUUAUGGGUGGAGGAGUUAAGAAAUGGGAAGAUUUCUUAGUUUGAAAUUUCGAUGAACACUUUUCAAUUGUUACUGUUUAAAGUCUGAUGUACCUACCUUAGUUCUAUAAGUUUAAGGGACUGCCAUUCCCUAUUCCAGAAACUGUUCUUACUUCCAACUUUUUUAAAUCUCCUUGCAGCUUGGUCAUUGUUCCUUUCUUGGUCCAAAAAAAAGUAUAGCUUUUAUUUUCAAUCCAUAUUAUUUCAGCCGGAAGGAAGCACAUAUUUUAAGAUAAUGAAAUUGAGGAAUAUUUUAUUAAUAUUAAAUCAGCAAAUCAAUCAAUUUUUUUCUUUUUCUAGUUGUUUUUACUUUUCAAUUUUUGAGCUUACAAUUGUUGAAUAUUUGAAAGUCUAACAAAAAACUUCAAGGCACUUAAUUUCACUCUUGUUCAACACCAGUAUGGAGAACGAGGUUCUCAGAAUCUAUUACUAUUCAGGAAUUUCCAUCGCUAGAUAUCAAAGAUCCUGAUAAUUAAAGUGAGGUAGAUUGAGUGUGAAGUAUGAUACAAAUUAUGAAUCUAUCAAAACUGGUAACAUAAAACUGAAGGGUUAGAAAUUUUAGUUUCUCCUUUUGCUAUUCAGUCACCUCUAUUUUCUCUCUUUUCUUCUUACUAUUUCAAAUUCAAAGGAGUUUAAGUGUAGACUGAUGAGUUGGUUAUGAGUAAGUUAAGAUUUGGUGUCCUCUCAAUUUUUAAAAGUUCAAUCUAACCAAUCCUUUCUAUCUUUUUUGCAUACUGUUGUAAAGGAAUCAACAAAUAUAGGGCUCAUUUAAAAAAAAUUUACUUCUUAACCAAAAAAUGUUCCUUUUACUAAAAAGCCGUAACAGUUCACUUGCUGUACUAAGAAUUUUUAUCGAAGAAUUUGGUUAUUUAAUAAAGAGCAGCUGUUCUCUUAAUGCACGUGAUGUUAAAAAAGGGGAGGGGGGGGUUGAAGAUCCAUGAGCGCAUAAUUGAACUUUAUCAUGAUUAACUCUUAGUUCAACCUUUGUUACCUGCACUAACCUUUUUUGAUCAAUACAUUGAGCGGCCAAAUAAAAAACAUGCCAAGUAUCACAUAUCAAUGUAGUCUUGAGCGCAGAGAGAAACUGCCAACAAAAAAUAUUAGACUUGGUCUUUAAAAUUCACUAUUUGAUCUAUUUUCACCUCUAUGUUUUUUUCUAUCUCUUAUUUUUCGAAGAAGUGACAGUCUCUUAAGUUAGUACAAGAAUUUCCUCAGAUUUGUACUUCUUUGAAUUUUCAUUAAGAAUUGUUUAAUAUUGUUACAUUUAUUUUUUUCCUAGAAAAUGUGUAAAGUGUACAUAUAGUUAUUUACUGUUAAUGUUUGUAUUUCUUGUAAGAAAUAUAGUUGAAGAACUUUUAUUUUGAAAAAAGAAUGCGAAAUUCUUAUUUUUAUGCAAGGUCCAUCAAAAACUUUCACAACAGAUUUUCACAGAACAGGUUUUCAAGAUGAUUAAGAGCAAACUUAUUCAAUUUUUAGCUUGACGCUUUGAGGAUUCCCUUCCCUGCACUCUAUUUAAAUACAUGGGCAUAUACCCUUACAUGAGUGUAGUAGUCCUAGAGCCCGACGAUAUUUAGUUACAAAAUCGUGACACAAGUUUUGAUCUCUUGAAUUUGCACUGAUACGAAAAUGGUUGUCUGCCAAAAAAUGGCACACACCUCAACGUUGCAGACAACCAUAUUCUGUGUCAGUAUGUGUAAGUAUCGAUUUAAGUGGUCAUAACUUGUGUCACGACUUUUCCAUUAACUAUCGCCUGGCUCUCGGACUAUAGUUGAGCUGGUGAAUCAAUUUUAUCGCACUCACGUGCAGAACCAUACUGGCAUAAGGACGAGCUACCAGCAAUCUUUGGCAGUCAAAAUUCUAUCAAGUAUCUCUGAUAGUUGAUGAACAUCCCUGGAAAGUGCAGUACCUCAUUAUACCACUUGAGAGCCGAGUUUUCAAUCAGCCGCAUGAAGGUCAACAUGAACAAAGCCCAUGAAGCACUUGGCUGACUGGUAGUUGACAUUUGAGUGCGAAGAGUCAAAACGCCAGAAUUCCUUAAAUAUUAUCAGACUUUAAGUAAACUUAAUUCCUGAUUUUGCACUUCAUUGCGACAUCUAUUGAUCCACCCCCAAAUAAUAAAUAAAUUGCUUUUAUACCUUUGAACAUCUGUACAAGUUUCCCAUGGGAUGUUCCAGUGUUUUUAAAAAAAUGAAAGAUUAAUAGGAAAGCUCACUCUCUUAAAGAUCAUCGGACAGGUCUCGAUUUCCACAAGAGUCCUAUUCUCCAUGUGUUUCUAUGCUCCUCAAGGCUCAUGUAGAAAUUUAGAUACGCCCUUACAUCAAAGGAACAACGGAAUGUGUAGUAUUCUGCCAUGAUAAGAAAAAACGUGGUAUGGUCCUUCAGCCGUUGCCAAAGUUCCUUGGACUAAUCACGAAUUUUAGAGAAAAAUUGUGGGUAUUUUUCUUCCUAAUUAUCAGAGAACUUUUGUUUUGUAAUUUGAUCGAAAGUGUCUAAAAAUUUCAAUGAAAAAUUUUCAUAACUUUCUUUACAAGUAAGUAUUUUCUGAGAGUAAAUUUGUAUUCAAAUUUUUAUUUGGCAAGGAUUGAUCUUUAGAGAACGUCGUAUGAUUUAAAAAUUAUCAAUUGGUUGAUCUCCUACCAGAUUACUCUAACUACAUUUGCAAAUCCACUAUGAUAAUUUCCAACUCAGGUAUUCUGACUCCCAGUACAUUAAAAUUUAAUGGACAUUAACUAUUGAAAUAAAAAACUCAGGAAGUGAAAAACAAGAGAAAAUUUUUGUAAAAAGAUUAAUUUUAAUGCCACAGUAAUAGUUUAAAAACACAUAGCAUUUAACAAAAUUAGUUAUUACUUCACAAUUGCACCAUUCUAAACUUACAGAUGUAACUAAAUAAAUAGUAUUUUACAAGUAACAAUCAAAGGAGUGGACGAUAAUUACAUAAAUUUACCUAACGAUGAAUACAAAUAUAUUAUCUGUCAUUUUUCAUAACAUCUUUGAGUAUGGACCCUGAGUUUCUAUUAACAGGAAAUUGUGGAAUGUUUGGCAGAGAGGCUUCUGACAGUAACACUGAUCCUGA